CAUAACCAUUUUUAUUUUGUAAUCCUUUUGAUAAGUUGUCUAAUAUCUUAUAGUUAUGUGACAAUUUCAUUUAAAAUAAAAGGCUCAUGCUAAAUUUGCUUAAACAUGGUUUCAAAGGUAACUCCAUUUCAGGAAAUGACAUCAGCACCCCAUUUUUGAAGUUCAUACAAAAGCAGAGUGUAACCUCAGAGACAACCUUUCACCAAUUAUACACAUUUUUCACCAGAUGAAUGAUGUUUUUAUACAUUUCUAUUGUCAUCCUCUUAGAGGUGCCAGCAGUUGUGCUGGGAGUGACUUUGGAUCAAGGUCCAAAGGUUGUGGUUAAAGGAGUGGGCAAAACAAUAUAUCUGCAAUGCAAGGUAAAGGAUCUGGGCGAUUCAGACUAUAUCCAUUGGUACCAAGUUAAAGACAAAGAAGCCCCAACGAGGCUACUCUACAUCAGUAAAGGAGGUAGUGUUGCUCGUGAUACCAGCGCUGAUGCAGCUGACUUCACAGUGGACAAAGCAAAGCUUUAUGAUCUAAAACUGAGUAAUUCUCAGCCAAAACAUUCUGCUGUUUAUUUCUGCGCCUACUGGGGCUCUGGCAACCACAGUGAGAAGAUUUACUCACAUCCUGUACAUGAACUAUACUGGUAAUGCUAUUACCAAUAUUUAUACUUAAAUUGUCAUUUUCUGUUUAAAUUCUUAAUUUGACUUAAACUUUAUGCACAUUCUGGCUGGAUGAUGGAAUUUGGAUCUGUUUAAAUUGGAAUUAUUAUUUUCCUGGUGUUCAUGUUUGUAUGAGUUUUUUUGACACACUGUAUUUAUAUUUGUGCUUUUGGAAUAUAUCAAGUGUAUCUUAAAUGCUAUGUGUAUAUAAAUUUUUUUUUUAUAAAAUAAAAUAAUGUAAUAUCUUUUUGAGAUGUGUUGAUGCCAUGAAAUUUAAAAUCAGUUGAAUUCUGAAAAAAAUAUUGAAAUUUGAAAAACUUCCACAUCAUUGCAUUCUGUUUUUAUUCACAAGUCCCAACUUUUCGGGUUUGUAUUUUAAUGACACUUGUCAAAUGAAUUUCGAUUCCCAUCAUGCUUCAUUUAUAUAGAUAGUUUUAUAUUGUGUGAAAAUUCUUGUUGAAGUGAUGAUGACGACAACAUGAACACAAAGAGGAAACCACAAG
rnacentral:lncRNA from 1 species